AGCGCAGGCGGCCAGGUUAGUCUGAAGUGCAAGCCCGGGGCUCAACUCCGGAAUGGCUUUGGAUACUGCCAGGCUUGAGUACGUCAGAGGUGAGCGGAAUUCCAGGUGUAGCGGUGAAAUGCGUAGAUAUCUGGAGGAACAUCCGUGGCGAAAGCGGCUCACUGGGACGACACUGACGCUGAGGCUCGAAAGCGUGGGGAGCGAACGGGAUUAGAUACCCCGGUAGUCCACGCUGUAAACGUUGUGCACUAGGUGUGAGGGGUGUCUACCCCCUUCGUGCCGUAGCUAACGCAUUAAGUGCACCGCCUGGGGAGUACGGUCGCAAGACUGAA
rnacentral:rRNA from 1 species